CAGGAGCAUCGCUGGGUAGCUAUGUGUGGCAGGGAUAAACGCUGAAAGCAUCUAAGCGUGAAGCCCCCCUCAAGAUGAGAUUUCCCAUUUCUUCGGAAAGUAAGAUCCCUGAAAGAUGAUCAGGUAGAUAGGUUUGGAGUGGAAGUGUAGCGAUACAUGGAGCGGACAAAUACUAAUCGAUCGAGGACUUAACCAA
rnacentral:rRNA from 1 species